CCUACGGGAGGCAGCAGUGAGGAAUAUUGGUCAAUGGGCGCGAGCCUGAACCAGCCAAGUCGCGUGAGGGAGGACGGCCCUACGGGUUGUAAACCUCUUCUGCCGGGGAGCAACGGGCGUCACGUGUGGCGCCACCGAGAGCUCCCGGAGAAAAAGCAUCGGCUAACUCCGUGCCAGCAGCCGCGGUAAUACGGGGGAUGCGAGCGUUAUCCGGUUUUAUCGGGUUUAAAGGGUGCGUAGGCGGCUCGUUAAGUCAGUGGUCAAAUUGAGGGGCUCAACCCCUUCCCGCCAUUGAAACUGGCGCUCUUGAGUGGAAGAGAGGUAUGCGGAAUGCGUGGUGUAGCGGUGAAAUGCAUAGAUAUCACGCAGAACCCCGAUUGCGAAGGCAGCAUGCCGGCUUCCGACUGACGCUGAAGCACGAAAGCGUGGGGAUCGAACAGGAUUAGAUACCCCAGUAGUC
rnacentral:rRNA from 1 species